ACAGCAGUAGCCGCGGUAAUACGAAGGGUGCAAGCGUUAAUCGGAAUUACUGGGCGUAAAGCGUGCGUAGGCGGUGAGUUAAGUCUGCUGUGAAAUCCCCGGGCUCAACCUGGGAAUGGCAGUGGAUACUGGCUCGCUAGAGUGUGUCAGAGGAUGGUGGAAUUCCCGGUGUAGCGGUGAAAUGCGUAGAGAUCGGGAGGAACAUCAGUGGCGAAGGCGGCCAUCUGGGACAACACUGACGCUGAGGCACGAAAGCGUGGGGAGCAAACAGGAUUAGAUACCCGCGUAGUCCCUGUCUCUUAUAC
rnacentral:rRNA from 1 species